CUCCAGAGAGCAGCUCCCCUGUCCUUCCGCGCAAUGCUAUGUGGAGCGUUGCCAUGGUAACGUGCGGCUACGCUCCACACAGCAUCGCGCGGGAGGACAGGGGAGCUGCUUCCUGGAG